GUGUUCUCCAACCCAGUCCUCAUGGACUAUCAACAGUCCAGGCUUUAUAUAUCUCCCUGUUUUAUUCCAAUGGAGAUACUGACUGUUGGUGGUCCAUGAGGACUGGGUUGGAGAACA